UACGUAGGGAGCAAGCGUUGUUCGGAUUUACUGGGCGUAAAGGGCGCGUAGGCGGCAGAUUAAGUCAGCUGUGAAAUCUCCGAGCUUAACUCGGAACUGUCAGCUGAUACUGUUUUGCUAGAGUGCGGAAGGGGCAAUCGGAAUUCUUGGUGUAGCGGUGAAAUGCGUAGAUAUCAAGAGGAACACCUGAGGUGAAGACGGGUUGCUGGGCCGACACUGACGCUGAGUGCGCGAAAGCCAGGGGGGCAAACGGG
rnacentral:rRNA from 1 species